rnacentral:rRNA from 1 species
UACGUAGGGGGCUAGCGUUGUCCGGAAUCAUUGGGCGUAAAGCGCACGUAGGCGGUUCGUUAUGUCGGAUGUGAAAGCCCUUGGCUUAACCGAGGAAGUGCAUCCGAAACUGGCGAGCUAGAGUACGAAAGAGGAUCGCGGAAUUCCCGGUGUAGAGGUGAAAUUCGUAGAUAUCGGGAGGAACACCGGUGGCGAAGGCGGCGAUCUGGGUCGAUACUGACGCUGAGGAGCGAAAGCGUGGGUAGCAAACAGG